GAGCAGCUGCCAUGUCGUUUUUGCUUUUAUUUUUCUGAAGAAAAUUGUUGGAUUAAUGUCACAUCCUGUCAGAUGCAGUACUAGUGUAAAGUCAAAGGGUGUACCAUCCGUUGACAGUUAAUGAAUGAGAGAGCCUCUACUGGAGCAGUGAAAAACAGACAGCAGUUGGAUGAUUUUCACAUUUGCUUUCUGCUGGAGAGAGUGACAUGAUGUCCAAUCAACACAGGCACUCAAAGUGGAGACCAUUCAGUCCAAGAAUAAGGAUUAAAGGACAAAGCUGGAG